UACGAAGGGGGCUAGCGUUGCUCGGAAUCACUGGGCGUAAAGCGUACGUAGGCGGGUCGUUUAAGUCGGGGGUGAAAUCCUGGAGCUCAACUCCAGAACUGCCUUCGAUACUGGCGAUCUUGGAGUCCGGGAGAGGUGGGUGGAACUGCGAGUGUAGAGGUGAAAUUCGUAGAUAUUCGCAAGAACACCAGUGGCGAAGGCGGCUCACUGGCCCGGUACUGACGCUGAGGUGCGAAAGCGUGGGGAGCAAACAGG
rnacentral:rRNA from 1 species